UACGUAGGCAGCAAGCGUUGUUCGGAAUUACUGGGCGUAAAGAGUGUGUAGGCGGUUCUCUAAGUUCGGUGUGGAAUCUCCCGGCUUAACUGGGAGGGUGCGCCGGAAACUGGAGGGCUUGAGUAUGGGAGAGGAAAGCGGAAUUCCUGGUGUAGCGGUGAAAUGCGUAGAUAUCAGGAGGAACACCUGCGGUGUAGACAGCUUUCUGGACCAUCACUGACGCUGAGACACGAAAGCGUGGGUAGCAAACAGG
rnacentral:rRNA from 1 species